AGCCGGGGUAAGCUUGGUGCUACCUCUUUUCUUUUGUUUGUUAUUUUCUUUGAAUAAGAGGCUUGAGAGUUUCUGAAUAUUGUGAAGUGAAUUAUGGAAUGGAAAUGUGAUUGGUAUUAUUUGAGAAGAAGAAAGAUUGAAUGCUGAAAUCUGAUUGUAGUUCAGUAGAGAUAAUGAGUUUGUGUUUGUGUGAAACACUGUAAUGUGAAUGGCAGUUCUGUAUGAAGAAUUUGAGUGAUUGGAACGAGGGUAAUUGUGUGAUGAAAGCUGUAAGGGGGCAGUAUUACAGUUGGAGAUUAUGAGGGUGAAUAUAUUGGUAGAAAU
rnacentral:lncRNA from 1 species